GAUGUAGAGAUGAAUGACUUAUCCAAAUUUUUUUAUAAAGGAAAUAACAAGGGGGCACAAUGCUGUCCUUGACUUAGGAAAUCUUUUAUUCGUGCAUCUACUUGAUGACAGAUAAUUUACUAGUGGACUCGGAACCACUUCUUUAGUCAUCGUUCAACGCGUCAAAAAAUGAGCCCGCCCAUCCCUACGCGAGUCAAAGAAUCCCAUAAAAGUUUCUCCAUCUCUACGCUCUUUCCGGUCACCGCUAUGAGUGCAUGGCGUACCAAUUCGAGUCCCGCUCAACAAUCGACUGUCGUGGCGUAGAGUAAUAACUCUCGCAACCCAAAACCACUGCAUAAUCUUCUUGUUUUGAGGAAACCACUGCAUAAUCUUCAACCCCUAAGUAUUGGUCAUCUUGGUAGGUCAGGGGCAUGCGAAAUUCCAUAACAUGUAUGUCGUCGUUACCGAAUGAUAUUAUUGUCAUUAUUCUCGGUUUUCAAGCUAAAAGUUAGGUUACGAAAUAAGCGUUUUCCAUGCUUGUAGAAAAUUUAAUUUGGUAAUCAGAUGCAGGCCAAUGACUUCAAUUGAAUAUCUUUCCUGCAAGAAAAAAACCAACUAAAUUCGUAUUGAAAAAUAACAAGUGGUGCUUAUUGCACAAGUCAACUUUUUUUUGUUUAAUAAAAAUAGUUUGGAUAAAUUAAAACCAUCGACUCACUCACUCUCAUAUGUAUGUUAGAUACCA
rnacentral:lncRNA from 1 species